AUUUGCAAACUAUCCCGUUUACCUGCUCAAAUUAAGUGUAACUACACUUGAUUUAAGACAUUUUUUACUUAUUUCUAGAUCGUUUUUCUGGUGCAAAGAGCAGUCAGACCCAGCAGGUCUCAUCGCUGAAGCUCUUAAGCUUAAGUUCGCCCAUCGGAUUCCAGAAACCAGGAUGAGAGGAAGGAAGCGACAAAGAAGAUUGGAAGGUGGCCGUCCCAGAAGCCAAAGCUCAAACUGAAACCCCUCUAGUGAGACGCAGGUCUGCAGCCUUCUGGUUCUCAGCUGGAAGUUUGAGCAGCACAUGCUGAAACCAACCUGGAAGAAAAGGUUCCUUUGACCAGGAGAAGCUGAGCUGCUGAUCCAGGAUCUCUGUGGACUCUUAGAAGCGACUCCUUUAUGCUGAUCCUCUCUGACCUAACCUGCCUGGACCACAUAUUCAUCAUCCCAUAGAAUCCAUGAUGCUUAUUUAAGUCUUUUCUUCAAGGGAAGAAAAGGUGGUUAUUAAACUGUGAUUUUUAUCUGCAGAGUUCGCUAAAAAAUUGUAUUUCAUCUUAAUAAAAGUAUCUCCUUACUC